rnacentral:rRNA from 1 species
UGGGGAAUAUUGCACAAUGGGCGCAAGCCUGAUGCAGCCAUGCCGCGUGUAUGAAGAAGGCCUUCGGGUUGUAAAGUACUUUCAGUCGGGAGGAAGGUGUCAAGGUUAAUAACCUUGGCAAUUGACGUUACCGACAGAAGAAGCACCGGCUAACUCCGUGCCAGCAGCCGCGGUAAUACGGAGGGUGCAAGCGUUAAUCGGAAUUACUGGGCGUAAAGGGUACGUAGGCGGGUAAGCAAGUUAGAAGUGAAAUCCUAUAGCUCAACUAUAGUAAGCUUUUAAAACUGCUCAUCUUGAGGUAUGGAAGGGAAAGUGGAAUUCCUAGUGUAGCGGUGAAAUGCGCAGAUAUUAGGAGGAAUACCGGUGGCGAAGGCGACUUUCUGGCCAUAACCUGACGCUGAGGUACGAAAGCGUGGGUAGCAAACAGG